rnacentral:rRNA from 1 species
GCAUCGAUGAAGAACGCAGCGAAAUGCGAUAAGUAAUGUGAAUUGCUGAAUUCAGUGAAUCAUCGAAUCUUUGAACGCACCUUGCGCCCCUUGGUAUUCCGAGGGGCAUGCCUGUUUGAGUGUCAUUAAAUUCUCAAACUCACAUUUAUUUGUGAUGUUUGGAUUGUUGGGGGUUGCUGGCUGUAACAAGUCAGCUCCUCUUAAAUGCAUUAGCAGGACUCCUCAUUGCCUCUGCGCAUGAUGUGAUAAUUAUCACUCACCAAUAGCACGCAUGAAUAGAGUCCAGCUCGCUAAUCGUCCACAAGGACAAUUUGACAAUUUGACCUCAAAUCAGGUAGGACUACCCGCUGAACUUAAGCAUAUCAAUAAGCGGAGGAAAAGAAACUAACAAGGAUUCCCCUAGUAACUGCGAGUGAAGCGGGAAAAGCUCAAAUUUAAAAUCUGGCGGUCUUUGGCCGUCCGAGUUGUAGUCUGGAGAAGUGCUUUCCGCGCUGGACCGUGUACAAGUCUCCUG